UCAAACCCAACUGAAUCCAAUUCAAUUGGACUUGAUCUAAAAAUAAUUACUCAAUCAAAUUGAGUUAAUUAGUGAUCAAAUCACUAAUAAAACUUCUCAUAUAUAUUGAGUCCAAAUCCGAUGGGCAAUCGGAUAUCAAAGUCCAUCAAUAUGUGGACUCUUGACCGAAGAGUCCCAAACCAGUGGGACUCUUGACCCCGGUACCCAAAAUGUGUGGGACUUAUGAUCAGAGAAUCUUGAUUCUCGAUCACAGUGUUCUAGACAUGUAGAACUCAUAGUCCACAAAUAUUAAGACUCUUCAUCAGCCAUCAGAUCAGAUAGAAAUCUCUAAUGUGUGUGACCCUGCAGGUUCGAACCUAAGCCAGUAGCACAGGAACCAAUUCCUGUACUAAUCAAAGUGACCAUCUAGCAAUAGUACCCGACAUCCAGAUAGGUCGAAUAGUCACAAUCGUAACACUAGAACCUACGUGAAUAUGGUUACUGUAUAAUUCAUCCCUUUUGACCCCUGUAUUUAGGAUGACUCAGGGUUAAACUGUCAACUCUGAUUAGAUCAUCUGAGUCGUGCUCAACUCAAUCAGUCCUGUGACUCCUCACUAGGACUACCCUGGCCAAGGUUUUGCUAAAUUAAAAUACGACUGUACACAGCUCCUGAACUAGAGUGGUCAAUCCCAUCUUGACACACGCAUCGACAAGUCAAGUACUUGACUAUACCCAGCAGCCUUCCAUCACAGAAUUAGAAAUUCAGGUAGUCCAGUGCCUAAGUGCAGUGAGUUGCUUGCAAGUCACCAUGGCGGUCUCAGAUCGGAGGGAUAUUUAUACCCAUAUCCCAUCGGAGCAAAUCUUGGCAGCAGAGAUAGCUUCAGAGUCGGUCACGUUCAGUGCAGAUGUACCCUUACAUCUCACCUGUAUGCCAUACCAGUGUCUCCACACUCCUUAGUUAAGAGGACAACCAACCUAUAUGGCACAUAAUGAUCUAUGC
rnacentral:lncRNA from 1 species